AUUGAACGCUGGCGGCAGGCCUAACACAUGCAAGUCGGACGGUAGCACAGAGAGCUUGCUCUUGGGUGACGAGUGGCGGACGGGUGAGUAAUGUCUGGGGAUCUGCCCGAUAGAGGGGGAUAACCACUGGAAACGGUGGCUAAUACCGCAUAACGUCGCAAGACCAAAGAGGGGACCUUCGGGCCUCUCACUAUCGGAUGAACCCAGAUGGGAUUAGCUAGUAGGCGGGGUAAUGGCCCACCUCGGCGACGAUCCCUAGCUGGUCUGAGAGGAUGACCAGCCACACUGGAACGGAGACACGGGCCAGGCUCCUACGGGAGGCAGCAGUGGGGAAUAUUGCACAAUGGGCGCAAGCCUGAUGCAGCCAUGCCGCGUGUAUGAAGAAGGCCUUCGGGUUGUAAAGUACUUUCAGCGGGGAGGAAGGCGGUGAGGUUAAUAACCUUGCCGAUUGACGUUACCCGCAGAAGAAGCACCGGCUAACUCCGUGCCAGCAGCCGCCGUAA
rnacentral:rRNA from 1 species